UGGCUCUGUGCCUAUGUGACCCUCCUGCUUGACGCACACUCUCUGUUUUGCCAGCCAAGCCGGCACUUCGCCUCAGGGGCAGCGCCUGUGAAGUCCAGCUGUCUGGAGCCCGUCUUCUGGCAGCGCCGGCCCUGCUCCUCCGCACGCCCGUGCCUCCUGGAGACCCGGCCCAGCGCCGUUCGCAGGCGGACGCCCUGGCUGUGACGCCACAGGGUUCCGGGGAAGGCACCAAGGGCAGGAGAAGGCUACUCAGAGUUUAGUUUGUAAAUCAAAGUUAAAAUUGUGAAACAAUUUAUCUCAGAUUUCACAACACCUAGUCCUGUUAAAACUAGGGACUGACUCCUGGAACUGGUUAGGACAAGGAGAGAGCUGACCCUUCCAGGGAUCUGACAAACUACAGGACAGGAGGAGCCGCGAGCCGAGGGCGGCACUUUCCACAGCGCUGGAGGAACGGUCCGCGCUCCCAGGGCCUCUCCUGAGCUUGGGCACCCAAACAACCCCCUGGAAAGCCCCUGUGCUGUCCCACGCGCUGGCUCUCCAUCACACAUGCACCGAGGUGAUUCCACCAGAGCCUCAUCCGGCCCAAGCCUGCGGUGGCAGAAGAAAUUCUUGGAAAACUUGGUGGUGGGUAGAAGAACGGUCUCUAAGCUGUCCACAUCCUAACCCUGGGAACCCGAGAAUAUGCUGCCUUCCAUGGCAAGGGGCUCUGCAGGUGCGAUGAAGAUCCGCCAGCCCAGCGGCCUGCCGAAUGUCACUCAGUGACCUCAUCACCACGCCAUGGAUGAAGCCUGGCAAUAAAAUGCUUUCACUGCUA